UGUGUUGGAGAGCACUCUUUUGGAAGAAACUGUCCCGUGAAGCAGCAGUACUGUUGGCCAUUUAUCUCCAGGUACAUACAUACUUUUUUACUACUGUGUCUCUGCCUGAGAAUGUGUAUUAGAUAUCACAUACCCUUAGGAGAGUGUAUAUUUCUGGGCUAAAUAGAAAGAAAUAGUUGAUUUAGGUUUCUGAUUAGUGUGAUUUAAUUCUGUUUUCCCAUGCUGCAGGGUCACAGCUGCUUAGUCCAUGAUUACCACCCUGUAGGUAUUUCCAAGGAAGCCCUUGAAGUGAAUUACUUGAAAUGAUGCAAUGCAAAAGCAAUGUGAUAGCUACAACGUUUAUUUCUUCCUGCUUGCAAGGCCAAAAGAAAGUGGAAAAGGAAGAGAGAAUGCAAGCGAAUAUACUGGAGUGUAUCCCUAGUUGGAUAGUAACUUCGUUCUUUAUGUUGGGAAGCUUUCUGCUGUGUGUGUGCUUCAGGAUUGCCAGCAGUAUGUCAUGUUCCCUGCAUAUGCAGGCCAUCUACUGCAUUCAGUCUGGUGAACGAGAUCCUCAGUAGUCAGUAGAGACAGAUAGUAAUGAAGUGGUGUCAGUUUACACCAGCUCAUCUUUGCAUCUGCAGUUAGUCUCUGCUUCUGUUUCUUCUCUGGAUCAAUGCUGGAAUUGCUAGUCAGUGUAGGAGCUAAUUAGCAGGAUGGAACAGUUAUUUGGAGCAGUUAUUUUCCCACUUUGCUGCUAGCAUUGGAAAAGGUCGUGUUUUCUGCAUUACCCAAGCAUCUCACAGUUUUGGAGUGUUUCAGGUUCUUGCAAAUCAGAUAAACAGUGGUGUAACUAUCUGUCUUCAGUUGUGCUCUGCAGGGAGAAGGGAUCUUCAAACAGAAGAAAUACGUUCUGUAGAAAAUGGGAAGCAACCUGGGAUGUCUUCCAAGGAUCAGUGCCUGAAAUUGAAGCCAGCUGAUGACUGGAGGAGAGUUCCCAAUAACCCGAAAUCCCCCUCAUUAACCUUGGCUUGAGGGGGAAUUGCUGGACUGUAACAAGCAACGAGGACCCGAGCUUAGAGUCUUCAGCUGUUGUCAUGGACCAUUUUUCCAAACAUCUCAGCAUCAUCUGGACAGCACAGAAGAUAUCUCACCUCCUUUGCCGCUCAAUAGACCAGGGAGCCACUGGGCCUAUUUGGCUGAGCCCAGCUCUUGGAGAAAGAGGCAACUUCCAUUUUGCUGCUUUUGGGUCUGAUUUUUGAGUCCCAACUGGAAAAUCACAACUGUGGAAUCAUUCAGGUUAGAAAAGUCCUCUAAGAUCCCCAAGUCCAACCCCAGCCCACCCUCACCAUGCCCACAGACCACAUCCCUCAGUGCCUCUCCAUGGUUCUG
ensembl:lncRNA